rnacentral:lncRNA from 1 species
UUUAAAGGAAAUUAUUUCUGCUGCAGUACCUACAUUUUGGGAUGCAGGUACUCGUCCACACUGAGAGGUUUAGGACCGCCAUACCAAUCGAUUAGAAAUAUAUCUUCUAUUUCUAAUUUGAAGACUUGAAAGUUGUGACCCUCAGUUCAACCUGUUAAAGAAUACCAAAAUUAAAAUAGCAGAAAUAAGUUUUUUUUAGCAAGAAUCAAAUAUAUAAUGAGGAGAAAGCUGGUCAUUGAAAAUUUGCAACUAGUCAAAUAUCCGACAUAAAACACAUAGGAUUCUAAUCUAAUUUAAUGAUUUUCAGGUAUUACCCUUCAUCUCAGAGUGCUUGGAAAACAAGGAAAUUCUUGCAAAUUCGGCUUCCUCGGAAUCAUCAACCAAUUUAAGCUGAAACACAAGAGACAGCUAUCAAAAUCCAAGUUACUUAUCAUCAAAGGAAGCACAAAAUUUCUUUAUGAUUUUCCCUUUCCUCAAAUAAAGUUGUUUAAAACUUUGAACAUAACGUAUUAGUUUUUGGAGUUGAAUUAAGUUCACAUCAUUUCAAUUCUAAUAUACGUGAAUAAAAUUAUUACUCAUAUGAUUCAAAUUAAUCUAUAUCACGAAUUAUAUAUUUAUUUUGAGUCACAUUUGUUAUAUGCAGUAGCUAUUUUAAUUCAUUAGAAUCAACCUACACUAAAUUAAACAACUCAGAAAUACACCUAAGAAAACACAUGAUUAACCAAGGCUUUAUAAAUUGUUUUGGGUUUGGCAAUGAGAAAAACAUGGUCUAAUAAGUAGUGUGCAAGUGCAACACACUGUUGCAUAGAGAGAGAGGCAUAAAAAUGUAGUGUAGGAGUAGAACAGAGAAUAAUUACCUGAAGGACAAGAUCAUCCCAAGCAUCCUGAAAGUGGGUCCCAAAGAGGAGACCAGCACCACCCUGGUCGGUGGGGUCCACAGAGGUUCUGCCCAAUCAAAUUGACAGAAAUGACUCUGCUACAAUCAAAUUGGAAACCCAAUUGACAGUUGCAGACAUGCCGCCGUAAAUUCCUCGGUAUUGUUCGGGAUAUAUCUCUGAGUUUACUGUCCAAGGCACAGUCCCCAUCCCCGGUGAGAAGAAUGCAAUAUACAGGGCCGAUCCUAGAACCGCAAGCCAUCCAUACAAAGCAUUUUCAGAUGAUUGCUUGAAAAAUGAAAUGGACAGGAUGAUCAGUGAUACUAUUACUCCUGCUAAGCUAUAGAGGGACAGUUUUCUUCGCCCUGCGUGGUCGAUAAGGUAAAUGCCAAGAAUGGUGCCGCAAGCAUUCAAGCCACAACUAUGAGGGAUAGAAGAAGAGCUAACUCAUUAGAGCGGAAGCCAGCCAUUUGCACAAUCGUUGGGCUGUAGUACAUUACUGUGUUAAUGCCUGUAAACUGCUGAAAAGCCUGCACAAUCAACCAUCAUAUGCUUGGUUAAGAAUAACUAGUUUAUUUGAGAAACACUCAGGAGCCAUUCAAGUAUUCAACACAACACCUUAUCUGCCUACAACAUUCAGCCAUUCAACACAAUACAAUUCUGCCUACAGCAUUCACCCAUUCAACUUUUUUUUAAAUAGAGUAAAUAUCCACUUUCCAGCCUUGACAAAACACCGAAACAGAGUAACAAAGCAAAACACAAAAACAUGAAUGUAUGAAACAGAACAUUAUGCGAAGACGAAGAUUAUGAAGACGAAGUAAGAGGCCAGCGAAGACGACGCGUUCUGGAAUCAGAACCAUACAUUCUAACAUAGAAGAUGAAAGUAUGAAACAGAGGAGUCACUCACCUGGGUGCUGACGAAGCGAAGACGAAGCAAGAGGUCAGCGAAGACGAAGCAAGAGACUAGGCGACCGCGGUGGCGCUGACGACCUGAGAACCCCGGCGACGGCGGUGGCUACUGGGCUGGGAUUUAUGAAUGCUUCAGAGCUAGGGUUCACGAGACGAGACUGAGACGAAUGAAUGGUCGCCGUUGCUGCGCCGUCGAUCUCGCCGUUGCCUCGCUCUUCUGCUCUGUCAAACAGGUUAGCUCCAGUUCUCCUCUGUAGUCUGUUCUGCACUUCUUGCUGUUACAGUGUUAUGCAUAUUUAUGCUUGUUGAAAUUUCUGGGAUGAACAUGCUUGUUGAAACUUGAAAGCUUGAAUCUGUUAUGAAUAAUGUUAAUCUAAUAUUGUUCUGUUAUGAUUUAUGAAUAUGCUUGUCUUGCUGAAUAGGGAAUUUAACUAUUUAAGAUUGCUUGUUGACUAAUGCUUGUCUAGGAUGAAUAUGCUUGUGCUGUGAAUUUAACUAUUUAAGAUUGCUGUGAAUUUAACUAUUUAAGCCUUUAAGGUUGCUGUCUUGCUGAAUAGGGAAUACUGGAAUAGGAAUUAGGAAAUUUAGGAUUGCUAUUGUUUUAAAAUAGGAAUUAAGGCAACUAACAAUAUGUAUUUUGAAUGUUUAUCUUUGUAUUAGUUAUAUUUAGACUUUGAAAUUUGGUUGUUUUUAAAAUGUUGGGGAAGAACUAACAAUAUGUAUUUUGAAUUUAUUAAGUUUAUGACUAUUUUUAGUAUUUUAUAUUUUUUAUUUAUGUGAAACCGGUUUUAUCAGUUCAACCAGCGGUUUAUCGGUUGAACCAGUGAACCAGUAACCUGACCGAUUCGAUCAUCGGUUCGGUUUUUACAACUAUGCUGAUAACUAUGAUUGUAGAUUGUAGCCAUUUUUUCUUACUAUAUUAUUUUUAGUAUAUUAAAGGCAAAAUUUCCAAGGCGUAUAUCAAAGAAAAUGGUCAAACAGUCAACUCAAUUGAAGGAACUUAAAACCCAAACGCAGAAACCUCAAUUCAAGGAGCUUGAAAUCGAAGGUACAGCAAGAUCAAAUAACAAAUUUCUUGAUCAGCAUAAAGUUUUCACUAUUUAUUUUCAUUAAAACUCUACCUGUGUGUUUGUGGCAGUGGAGCGUCAAAUCAGUGCAAUUAGGGUGGUUCGUGAUGUUGACAUCGAACGAUUGUUGAUGGAACUUCGUUUGGUUCGGUCGUGUUUCAGUGAGGAACAGCUCCGGAAGCCAAUGCUGCAGGUCUUCGAAGAAACCUUACCGAAUCUCUCAAUUGUGAAAGAUGAAGGGAAUGGGAAAUUCGAUGUGAAGUGGAAAGAGGGAGGGAGCAAAAUGUCCACGACCUGUGGUGGUGUAGGAAGAGAUUUGCACGCUUCUCUGUUCCAGAGACUUUCGAUUGCUUUUCCUUCGGAAUGUCCUUCUUCGGUUCCUCAGUUUGGUGGUUUUGAAUACUCUAGCAAUACUGGUAAUGUUUAGUUUUCUCUUUCGAUUUAACUCAUUUCAUAUCUGAAUUAAAGUUUCUUAAAUUGAAUUAAAAAAAAUGGAAAUGUGUGAUACGAAACAUACUAUUGUUCUAUGCCCCUUAAAUUGUUUGGCUUCCUUCAAUUUUGAACGAUUUUACUAUAGAUAUUAUAGUUCUUAUACAUUUUGGCAUAGAUUGUAGUUGAUACCUAUUAGUUUACUUCUUUGUUGGCAGGGAGAACAGGAUUUCUUAGUGAUGCAUGUUCAACUAGUCUGGAGGUGGAAAACAACCAAAGAGAAAAACCUAGCAUGAAGGAAGACUGAAAAUUUGAAGAACAAAAUGACCAAGAUCAACUAAUGGAAAACCAUAGCGGCAACACCUACAUGAAUAUAUUCAACCAGAAUUUCAUUUUUUUUCACACACCUAUCCAGUUAGAGUAAUUUUUGAACACGUAGUGUUCUCUGGGUCAAAGAUGAAAUAUAGCAAUUGAGAUUAGCAUUUAUUUUGCCAUUUCGUUUUCAUUGGCCGCAUACAACGAAUAGUAUGCAGUUGUGCAAAGAUGAAAUAACAACUAUUCUUUUCCAAGAAAUCGACAAUCUCAGCCUUUUCAAAAUCACUUGGUAAAAAGCAAUUUUCCUGAAUUCAGCCAGAUAAAAGUAGGAAAUGCUUACCCAAAGGGCGCUCCAUCCAGAUCAGUUGAGAUAGUACUGCAAAGAAUCAAAGAGAUGCGCAAGAGAAACAUAAUUUGAACUUUAGACUUCGAAACCAAACAGUUAAAUGAUAGAGAACUGACUAGACAUAACACAUGGAACACGGUUAAGCAACUGCCCAAUACACAUAAUGCAAUUCCCUUGAUCUCAGUGUGAAAAUGGUCAAGUAUUUUGAGGUAUCAUCAUAAAUUUUAUCCUGAUUCAGUUUUGCAUCAACAUAAAAGACGAUGACAUAUGAAAAACCUGAAACCAAAACAUCAUCGAUUUUCAAUUUAAGGUAGUUAAGGCACAUCAUCUAUGGUUUAUGUUUGUCAUUAUUCAUAAGUCACUGCACAUCCUUCCACUUUAUCCUCCUACAGUAAAUCAUCUCGUAACACAAAGCCAUUGUAAAUUAAGGCGACAAUUACAUAAAGGUAUGUGCAUCAUGGAUGGUAGGAGUGAAAAAUCUAAUGAAGAAGGCAAGAUGUAAAAAUUGUCACUCUGUAGUAUCAGAAUUCCCCCUAGUGGGGUGAAUUCAAACAUGAUUCAUGAUAAGAAACAAUGGAAUCGUUUGAUCUGUUAGAAUAUAAUUAGGAUUAAUUAGCAUUAAUGAUCAAACACCAUUGUCAUCCGCUGUGUAAUGAGUAAAAUAUAGGCCAAGGCCCAAUUCAUUAGUAAUUGAUUUACUAUAAAUAGAUAUAACAGAAAUGUAAUAGGGAAGGAUGAAUUGGGUAAUGAAUAUAGUUCCUUUUCUGGAAUUCCUUUCAUGGAAUUAUCUCUCUCCCUCUUAAUUCUCUCUGAUUAAUUAAUUCUUCUCUAUUCUUAAAUCUUACCCCUUACGCUGGUGCUUUCAUUGACCACCAUUUUUCUAUUUUCAUGGUGGUUUGGCGAUCUCACCUCCAAUGGAGCAAAUUGGAAGUGUAGCUGAAUAUUUUACUGCUUUUUUGUCUUCUGUUCAAAGAGUAAUUUGGACUGAUACUGAAAUAUUGAAGACAUUUCUCAAUGGAUUGGAAACUUAUAUCCAUAGAGAAAUUAUCUUUGAUGAUCCUAAAACUCUUUCUGAUGCAUUUUAUUUGGCAAAGUAUUAUGAAGAACGCUGGAGCAAUCCAUUUUCAGAAAUUUCAAAGCCAAAAUUAUCAUCUCAGCACCAGAUCCAGAAAAGUUCAUCAACAAAAAUUUCCUAUCAAUCACUGUAUCAAAGUCUAGAAUCCGCAUUUCAAGCAAAAAUUCAAAUCCAGAAUUCCACAGUAGACACCAGAGAAAAAUCAUCAACAGAACACAAAAUCAGAAAUUCAGAAGCAGAAUCAUCAAUCCAAACUCAAGAUCAAGCGAAAUUACAGACUGCGGAUACAGAUUUUACAUCCUCAAGAAUUCAACUAUCUAAUUCAAUACCUCAACAACAGUUUUCAGCAUCAACAACAGCACUUCCAGAUCUGCGAAGGGAGCUUCAGAUUCAAGAAACGACCUCCCUGAAUGCCGGACCGCGACCUCUCAACGCCAGCGAUCGUACGUGGAGGGAAACAGCACCCGUUGCGGAGGACGACGACGUCCACGUCGACAGAACCGCUCGAAGUAGUGACGGCAGGCUCAGCAAGGCCAACAGUGGCGCCGAGGACGGCGCCGUCGCGAAGGGGAAGGUGGAUGACACAGAUCUAUGGGAUCGGGAACCGACACCAAAGCCGCCUUGCAGGUUUACGGACGCGGUGGUCAGAGGCGGAGCAGCUGCAAGAAAGCCCGCACCAGAACCAAGACCACGGAAGACGAACGACGCGGUGGUAGCAAGCGGCGCCUCCGCGAAGGCAAAGCUCGCGACGACCCGAGUUGACGAAGCGGCGAAGGUUAGAAGAGGCGUUCUGUUCCAUUGUGUUCCCUCAAUCGUGGCCAAACCACCACCACUCACGGUGGCGGUUUUUCCAUGGGACCGCGAGCAUAGAGGCAGCACAGAGAAGAAGCGGGACGAGGUGUUGUCUCCGUGGGUGGCGAUGGACCAAGCAGCAGCACAGGAGCCUACCCAGGCAAAGCAGACGGCGGAGAUGCAGAGUGGUCAAGAGAUGAGUGGUGGCUGUUUUGGAAUGGUGCCUUCUCUUCUCAAGAGCAGCAACGAGAAUGAGAAAGCAGAGAAUGAGGAGCUGUUCCUUCCUCAAGGGUUGGGCCUUUUCCCAAUGUGCCAAGCCCAAUUUACCUCAACAAGAGUCCAAUUCACAUCAACAAAUAGAUUUAGGCCUACCAAAAAAUAUUUUAAAAAGAUGGAGGGCCUAGUUUUUUUUAAACAGUGGGAUCCUGGAGGUAAUUUUUUAUUUUAGACAGUAGAAUAGGAAUAAAAAAAAAUGUUACUUUAAGAUUAAUUGUUACUUUUAUUAAUUGUAAUUAGGGUUUAUAAUUUUUUUUUUUCAACAACCUUGAGGGCAAGGUUGUCGUUAAGGGGAAUGUAAUGUAAUGAGUAAAAUAUAGGCCAAGGCCCAAUUCAUUAGUAAUUGAUUUACUAUAAAUAGAUAUAACAGAAAUGUAAUAGGGAAGGAUGAAUUGGGUAAUGAAUAUAGUUCCUUUUCUGGAAUUCCUUUCAUGGAAUUAUCUCUCUCCCUCUUAAUUCUCUCUGAUUAAUUAAUUCUUCUCUAUUCUUAAAUCUUACCCCUUACACGCUGCUUACCUAUUCUCACGAAGAAAUGAUAUAGUUUUCGCUCUCUUUCGGUAGUUCCGUCUGCGUUCUCUCGUGGCAGUUCCGUCUGCGCUUAAUAUCCUAUAAUAUCCUAUAAUAAAUAUUCAGAUAUGUUAAAUAACAUUUUGGGAUGCAGGUACUCGUCCACACUGAGAGGUUUAGGACCGCCAUACCAAUCGAUUAGAAAUAUAUCUUCUAUUUCUAAUUUGAAGACUUGAAAGUUGUGACCCUCAGUUCAACCUGUUAAAGAAUACCAAAAUUAAAAUAGCAGAAAUAAGUUUUUUUUAGCAAGAAUCAAAUAUAUAAUGAGGAGAAAGCUGGUCAUUGAAAAUUUGCAACUAGUCAAAUAUCCUACAUAAAACACAUAGGAUUCUAAUCUAAUUUAAUGAUUUUCAGGUAUUAUCCUGCAUCUCAGUGCUUGGAAAACAAGGAAAUUCUUGCAAAUUCGGCUUCCUCGGAAUCAUCAACCAAUUUAAGCUGAAACACAAGAGACAGCUAUCAAAAUCCAUGUUACUUAUCAUCAAAGGAAGCACAAAAUUUCUUUAUGAUUUUCCCCAUGAUUCAUGAUAAGAAACAAUGGAAUCGUUUGAUCUGUUAGAAUAUAAUUAGGAU